CGGAGACUGCAGUACGUAGGAAAAUAGCGGUUGAGAGCCCCAAGGAGAUGGAAGAGGCAGCUACUCGUGGAUGUGUUCCAACAAAAUCCAGGAAAUAGGAGGAUAUGAGAACCAGAAAAAUGUAGGUUCAGCUUAGAGCAUCAGGUGGCCAGUGGAAGAGAAAAUGAGAGGGAGCUCAAACAAGAAAAGCAAGAUGAUUAAGUUGGUAAUGGAAGGACCAUGGCAACAGAGAAAAGGAAGAAGCUAAUUACGGAAACUGUUAGGACUCGCAUUUUGCAUGGAUUCCAGCUAAAAAAGACCACGUGAGCUAGAACUUGUCUGUGAUGCAUGAAGGAAAUUAUGCUGGAGUUUUCUGGAAGAAUAUUCCUCCUUGAUAAAGGGAAAAAGGAGGUCCUAGAAUUGUCAAUCACAUCAAAAAGAGCUUGAUAAGCACCAAUCUCUUUG